GGGCCCGUAGCUUAACUUGGUAGAGCGCCUGGCUCAUAACCAGGCGGUUGUGGGUUCAAAUCCCUCCGGGCCCA
rnacentral:tRNA from 2 species